rnacentral:rRNA from 1 species
GAGGCAGUAACUGGUCUUUAUUUGACGGUAAUCAACCAGAAAGUCACGGCUAACUACGUGCCAGCAGCCGCGGUAAUACGUANGUGGCAAGCGUUGUCCGGAUUUAUUGGGCGUAAAGCGAGCGCAGGCGGAAUGAUAAGUCUGAUGUGAAAGCCCACGGCUCAACCGUGGAACUGCAUCGGAAACUGUCAUUCUUGAGUGCAGAAGAGGAGAGUGGAACUCCAUGUGUAGCGGUGGAAUGCGUAGAUAUAUGGAAGAACACCAGUGGCGAAGGCGGCUCUCUGGUCUGCAACUGACGCUGAGGCUCNAAAGCAUGGGUAGCGAACAGGAUUAGAUACCCUGGUAGUCCAUGCCGUAAACGAUGAGCGCUAGGUGUUGGGGACUUUCCGGUCCUCAGUGCCGCAGCAAACGCAUUAAGCGCUCCGCCUGGGGAGUACGACCGCAAGGUUGAAACUCAAAGG